AUUGAACGCUGGCGGCAGGCUUAACACAUGCAAGUCGAGCGGAGAGAGGUAGCUUGCUACUGAUCUUAGCGGCGGACGGGUGAGUAAUGCUUAGGAAUCUGCCUAUUAGUGGGGGACAACAUUUCGAAAGGAAUGCUAAUACCGCAUACGUCCUACGGGAGAAAGCAGGGGAUCUUCGGACCUUGCGCUAAUCGAUGAGCCUAAGUCGGAUUAGCUAGUUGGUGGGGUAAAGGCCUACCAAGGCGACGAUCUGUGGCGGGUCUGAGAGGAUGAGCCGCCGCACUGGGACUGAGACACGGCCCAGACUCCUACGGGAGGCAGCAGUGGGGAAUAUUGGACAAUGGGCGGAAGCCUGAUCCAGCCAUGCCGCGUGUGUGAAGAAGGCCUUAUGGUUGUAAAGCACUUUAAGCGAGGAGGAGGCUACUUUAGUUAAUACCUAGAGAUAGUGGACGUUACUCGCAGAAUAAGCACCGGCUAACUCUGUGCCAGCCGCCGCCGUAA
rnacentral:rRNA from 1 species